rnacentral:rRNA from 1 species
UCGCCCUUGGAUCCAGACUUUGAUCCUGGCUCCCGUCGAACGCUGGCGGCGCGCCUAACACAUGCAAGUCGAACGAGAGAGAGGGAGCUUGCUUCCUCGAUCGAGUGGCGAACGGGUGAGUAACGCGUGAGGAACCUGCCUCAAAGAGGGGGACAACAGUUGGAAACGACUGCUAAUACCGCAUAAGCCCGGGGCUCGGCAUCGAGCAGGGGGAAAAGGAGCAAUCCGCUUUGAGAUGGCCUCGCGUCCGAUUAGCUAGUUGGUGAGGUAAUGGCCCACCAAGGCGACGAUCGGUAGCCGGACUGAGAGGUUGAACGGCCACAUUGGGACUGAGACACGGCCCAGACUCCUACGGGAGGCAGCAGUGGGGAAUAUUGCACAAUGGGGGAAACCCUGAUGCAGCGACGCCGCGUGGAGGAAGAAGGUCUUCGGAUUGUAAACUCCUGUUGUUGGGGAAGAUAAUGACGGUACCCAACAAGGAAGUGACGGCUAACUACGUGCCAGCAGCCGCGGUAAAACGUAGGUCACAAGCGUUGUCCGGAAUUACUGGGUGUAAAGGGAGCGCAGGCGGGUGAUCAAGUUGGAAGUGAAAUCCAUGGGCUCAACCCAUGAACUGCUUUCAAAACUGAUCGUCUUGAGUAGUGCAGAGGUAGGCGGAAUUCCCGGUGUAGCGGUGGAAUGCGUAGAUAUCGGGAGGAACACCAGUGGCGAA